AACGAACGCUGGCGGCAUGCCUAACACAUGCAAGUCGAACGAGACCUUCGGGUCUAGUGGCGCACGGGUGCGUAACGCGUGGGAACCUGCCCUUAGGUUCGGAAUAACUCCCCGAAAGGGGUGCUAAUACCGGAUAAUGUCUUCGGACCAAAGAUUUAUCGCCUUUGGAUGGGCCCGCGUUGGAUUAGCGAGUUGGUAGGGUAAAAGCCUACCAAGGCGACGAUCCAUAGCUGGUCUGAGAGGAUGAUCAGCCACACUGGGACUGAGACACGGCCCAGACUCCUACGGGAGGCAGCAGUGGGGAAUAUUGGACGAGGGGCGAAAGCCUGAUCCAGCAAUGCCGCGUGAGUGAUGAAGGCCUUAGGGUUGUAAAGCUCUUUUACCCGAGAUGAUAAUGACAGUACCGGGAGAAUAAGCUCCGGCUAACUCCGUG
rnacentral:rRNA from 1 species